GCGCUCAUCAGUACUCCGCCUUCUGUCUGAUGGAUUCCAUACAGAGGAGAUUAGCAUGGCCCUUGGCGUAAGGAUGACACGCACAAUCAUGAAGCGUUUUCACUUUUC